rnacentral:lncRNA from 10 species
AAGCCAUUUUAGAUCUACUAGGAAACAAGAAAGGCACUCUAUUAAGAUAUCAAGUAAAAAAGCAAAUCACUGAGGCAUGCUAACAGUUUGGAAAAGGGACUUCAGAGGCGCAUAUGGCGAAACCUUCCAUGGAGACAAAAGAGCUUGUUCAGUUACUGUUGGAGCCAUUGUGACUUUCUGAAAGAACGGAUAACAAAGAAAGCCUAUGCCUAUAAACACCCCAGACUGAGCCAGCAGAAGGGAGAAGCAUCUGGAUGUCAGGGACUACAGCUGGACCUUAGAGAGAGAAGUGGCUUGACUUCAGAGAAACAACUUGAUGGGAUAACUUCAGAGAAGAAUCCAGCCAGAGACAGCCGAACUUCAGGAGGAGAUUACCUACCCACCCCACCCCCUUUCCAGCACUCCUUCCCACUAAAAGCCACUUUCACUUGCAAUAAAAUCCCCCACACUUACUAUCCUUCGA